CGUCGCUGUCACCUGAGCAGGGUCGACAGACCGGGCGCCCACAGCCCCGGACCGAAAAAUAUAUAAGUGCUGGCUCACCACAUGAUGGGUGCCAGCCCAACAAGAAAUUUCGGAUGUACGCGCACCUCGGGACGAGGUGGGUAAUACC
rnacentral:sRNA from 12 species